ACUCUUUCCAUCAUGAUUUGCAUAGAAAAACAAAUAUGGGAAUGGGAAGGCAUCUAUUUCAACUUGUUAAGACCAUUAAUGUCUUUUUCAGAUGCUAAACAUGGACUCAACUCCCUCCAAUCACUUUAUCCAACAAUCUAGGCUUAAAACCUUACUACUAGAUAGCUGAUUGUAAAUUGAGAAAUUUAGAAUUGGUAUCAUUUUCAUAAAAACAUUUGCUGAUUAGAAUCUAACACUGUAACGUCAACAAUAAAUAGAAAAGAUUUUUGUGCCUAAUGUUACUUGUGAAAAUGCUUCAAGCAAAAAAAGUAAGCAUGAAAAAUGCAACAUAAUCAUCUGUCAUUUUAAAAAGAACAAUGUAUGUGGACGCCUCAGGAUUUAUUUGCAUCUUGAUAGUCAAGGGUAACUUUCUGUGAUGGAAAAUAAAUUUAAUGUUUAUCACGUUUUCCAGGGGCAUAAAUGCUGGAAAAAC
rnacentral:misc_RNA from 1 species